GACGAACGCUGGCGGCGUGCUUAACACAUGCAAGUCGAACGGAAAGGCCCUGCUUUUGUGGGGUGCUCGAGUGGCGAACGGGUGAGUAACACGUGAGUAACCUGCCCUUGACUUUGGGAUAACUUCAGGAAACUGGGGCUAAUACCGGAUAGGAGCUCCUUCUGCAUGGUGGGGUUUGGAAAGUUUCGGCGGUUGGGGAUGGACUCGCGGCUUAUCAGCUUGUUGGUGGGGUAGUGGCUUACCAAGGCUUUGACGGGUAGCCGGCCUGAGAGGGUGACCGGCCACAUUGGGACUGAGAUACGGCCCAGACUCCUACGGGAGGCAGCAGUGGGGAAUAUUGCACAAUGGGCGGAAGCCUGAUGCAGCAACGCCGCGUGCGGGAUGACGGCCUUCGGGUUGUAAACCGCUUUCGCCUGUGACGAAGCGUGAGUGACGGUAAUGGGUAAAGAAGCACCGGCUAACUACGUG
rnacentral:rRNA from 1 species